GAUGAACGCUGGCGGCGUGCCUAAUACAUGCAAGUCGAGCGAACAGACGAGGAGCUUGCUCCUCUGACGUUAGCGGCGGACGGGUGAGUAACACGUGGAUAACCUACCUAUAAGACUGGGAUAACUUCGGGAAACCGGAGCUAAUACCGGAUAAUAUAUUGAACCGCAUGGUUCAAUAGUGAAAGACGGUUUUGCUGUCACUUAUAGAUGGAUCCGCGCCGCAUUAGCUAGUUGGUAAGGUAACGGCUUACCAAGGCAAUGAUGCGUAGCCGACCUGAGAGGGUGAUCGGCCACACUGGAACUGAGACACGGUCCAGACUCCUACGGGAGGCAGCAGUAGGGAAUCUUCCGCAAUGGGCGAAAGCCUGACGGAGCAACGCCGCGCGAGUGAUGAAGGUCUUCGGAUCGUAAAACUCUGUUAUUAGGGAAGAACAAAUGUGUAAGUAACUAUGCACGUCUUGACGGUACCUAAUCAGAAAGCCACGGCUAACUACGUG
rnacentral:rRNA from 1 species